rnacentral:rRNA from 1 species
UACAGAGGGUGCAAGCGUUGUUCGGAAUUAUUGGGCGUAAAGGGCGCGUAGGCGGUGCGGUAAGUCUUUUUGUGAAAUCUCCGGGCUCAACUCGGAGUCUGCAGGAGAAACUGCCGUGCUUUGAGUAUGGGAGAGGUGAGUGGAAAUUCCUGGUGUAGCGGUGAAAUGCGUAGAUAUCAGGAGGAACACCGAUGGCGAAGGCAGGUCUCUGGGGCCACUACUGACGCUGAGAAGCGAAAAGCAUGGGGGAGCGAACAGG